rnacentral:lncRNA from 1 species
GUAGACUUGGUUGACCAUCUCACAGGUGAGGGAUUUCUUACAACUUGCCUAUGCGAAGUAUUUUGAGAUAGCAGGAUUAUUUGAGUUAGAUUGACUUCCUUUUUUUGUUUUGUCUUUAAAGUUACCACACUUGAGCUAAUUAAUCCGAGGAUUCAAACUCUCAAUCCGGUGGGAGGUACUAUAUGGGAUUCCGUUCAUUUCUUAAAGCACAACUAAAUGUGUGUUUCUAGACUCUGUACGUGAUUGCCAAAAACAAACGCAUCUGGAAAUUUACUUACUUAGGGUUUUCCUAGUUACAGAAAUAUUCUAUGCUGUGGUUUUUAUUUUUCUGGGUACAUAAUCAGGAGCGGCCCAAUGUAUUUGGGGGCCUAAGGCCAUUUUGUCUUUGAGGCCUUUUCUACAGUGGGCCGGCCUAAGGCGAAUUCACAAGGGGCCUUUUUUUUCAUUUUAUCUUUGAGGCAUUUUCUACGGUGGG